UACUAUGUUGUGACAGCGAAGAACCUUCUACAAAGUUACGGCGUGACCGUAACCGAAAUGACGCACUUUGCAGACGUACAGAGAUUACAUAAGUAUUGAUGUAAGGGUGUACAUAUCGAGGCGAAGAAAUUCUUUCACGGAUUGCGAUCAAUCAAAUCCCUGUUUACCCUUCAGCGAGCGCCGACGUGUUUACAGAACCGCGCCGAAAUACUUAGCAGUCAAGAGCUCGUACAGUACUAACAAGACCCUCGACGAUACAAUGUCAUUAUCAAGCAAAUGUGUGAACUUGAUAUUACCGCGAGCGAGCGGAGCCAGACUUUACACCGUGACCGGCGAUUUCGAUGUCCUCGUUCAACGGCCAGGCGAGAGUACGACCCAAGUGACGUCACACGAGCGAUUGUAGAGACAAUGACAGCCGACAUUUAAUAAAAUCAUCUUAUACUAUUAAA